UAGGAAAUGAUUUAAUAUUAAAAAGUCGAAGUGCCUGGUGGCUGGUACAAGUAACUAAUAGGAGUAACAAAGUAAUAAUCAAGUAAUUAUAAGCUACAACUAAAACAUAAUUUCCUUGAAAUUUCUAGCUUUUAGUGGAAAUCUCCCACCAGAAGAGCUUGAAGGAAUUAUUUACAACAUAAGAUGACCUAAGCGUCUGAAAUGGGACGAAGCUCUUAGCACGUGCAUUCAAUUUGAGUUCCUGAAAGAAUAUGAAGACAAGUAAGAAAGAUAGCAAAAGACAAAUUAAGCAUGCAAAUCUAACGCACCAUGUGACAAGAUGACGCUAUAUUAUGAAUGGCAUGCAUCAAAUUUUCCAAUCCUAUAGUUCACCCUGACAUGUGGAUUAAGUGUUGACUUCUCUAAAGACAAUGAAGCAAUAUAUGAACUAUGAGACAAUCCACGACUUGCAGAAAUUGAAGUACCUUCUCCACGAUGUUUCUGCAGAACUAUUGAUCCAAGUAAGAGAGGUUUCUACCCCCCUUGUGCUUUAGGACAUGUUGUGCGCCUUUAGGUAUCUCGUUGAAGAAGAUUCCCUUAUCCUGCCUUUAAAUGAAACAAGUUCAAACGCAGUAGCAUUUGUUGAUAAUUCAACCUUAGAACAAGUUUAUUUAUUUAAUGAGUUUGAACAUGAAUCUAUAAUCAUAUCAAUCCUAGCGUACACAAAGAUGAAUAACAUGGCACAAGGGGAAAUAAAGUAUAUAGAACAAAUAUAGGCCACAACAAAAGAAAAAUAGGGCUAGAAUUGUCUCAUGCAAUGAAAAAAUGUCAACUAACCAACUCUUAU
rnacentral:lncRNA from 1 species